AAAAACAAUUUAAUGCUUUAUAAAAAGUUAGAAGCUUUUUUAAAAUUAUUUCUUU
rnacentral:tRNA from 2 species